ACUUUAUGACGACAUUGAACGAGAACUAUAUGAACGUUAAAAAUGUUAUACUAUAAUCAUGAAUUAUUGAUGUAAAUGUUUGAAAGUUGAAAUGUCCAGGAGACAUUUAUUUUUGGAGGGGAAGGUGUGGAGCCCCACAGAAUACCCCCCCCCCCCUAUUUUUUUGUAUAUCUUUGACUAUGUAUGUAUGACACAAGUAUAUUUCUAGCCCCCAUAUAGUCCCUCCUCUUAGUUAAUUAGGUACCCCCUCCUGCGAGAGUGGCCUCACCCACAACCAACCUAAACACACCAGCUGGGAUACCAGGAGUGGCUUCUCACUUUGUUUUUGCCACGCAUCUCAGUCAACACCUUUCUUAUUUUGUCUUCCUUUAAUAGGUAUGCCCCCUCCCUCGGGGUGUGGGCGCUACACAUUUAUA